rnacentral:tRNA from 1 species
ACCCGGCUUGCUCAGUCGGUAGAGCACGAAACUCUUGAUCUCGGGAGUGUGAGCUCAAGCCCCACGUUGGGUG